rnacentral:lncRNA from 1 species
AGGGUUUCUUGAAAUGUGGUACACAUAAUUUAUUGCUUUUUCUUAUAAAAUGAAAACAAAUGAAGAUCUUGACCUUUUAGUAUGUUUUACAGUUUCCUAAAUAUUUUAGAGGCGGAUACAUUUAAAAAAAAAAAAGGUGGAGCUUCAGCCAUGGAAUAACAUGAAAGUGAAUAUGUUAUACCAUGGCUGAAGCUCCGCCUUUUUUCCUUUGGAUUCUAGUCGAGUUGCAUAUUUAAUUAGCAAAGUAUGGUACAACAUAAAUUUGCAUAUAAUAUACCAUGGUUUUCCCUCACCACACUUUUUAAGCAAAUUAUUUCAUAAAAACAUCAAAGGAAAAAAUCCAAUUUAUGUUACAAAAAAUGGUU